rnacentral:lncRNA from 1 species
GGAUGACAAAAGAAAUGAUGAAAAGAGGGUUAUCAUAAAUAGGAGGCAGAGGGAGGGGGAGAGUAAAGAUGAGGCAAAACAAGUAAAGAAAGAGGAAUUGCUGGAUGAUUGGUUUGGAGAAAAGGAGCACAAGACAACUGAUGAAACAUUACGAGAACUUAGAGAGAAACGUCAGAAGAGGUUGGAGGAGAAGACACAAGAGAUGGAGAAGAAAAAGGAAAAAGAAAGAGAGAUGGUAAAGAAGCAACUGGCUAGACAAAGAGAGGUGGAGCAAAAAGCUAAAAUUAUCAGAGAGCUGUUAACCGACACUCAGGGAGACACUGAGGAGAAAGAAAAAGGCCAAAAAAUUGAGAGACAGGAAAUGAUGGAGAAUGGCAUAAAGAAUCGGAGGGGCAGAGAGAUUUCGGGGGAUGAAGAUUGCAGGAGAAAGGAACAACUGACAGAAGGAAAUGGCAGCUCAAGGUAUGGAUCAAGUGGAGACGGAAUGGAUGUAAAGAUAGAAAUGCAACAGGAGAUGGAUAUACAUAUCGAAGAAAGAAAGUGGAAAAGUCCUCAAACCAAACUUGAGGAACAGACAUUGGAGUCACAGAAGCAACUAAAGAAUGAGAGAGGCAUUCUGAUGAAAAAAGAUAUCCAGCUGGUGCAACAGUGUGACAGUGGGAUAAAGCAUCACAGAGAAGACAAAGGCAAGUCACAGGAAGACAAGAAAAAGCCCAAGGAAGAAGCAAAGGAGUCGAGCCCAAAUGACAAAAUGAGAGAAGAGGUCAUGUCCAGGAGACAGAGACUGACUCAGAACAGUGCCACAACUGAGGUGGUUGAGACUCCCAUGAAAUACAAAAUGGAGAGAACUAUAGAGUUGCAAACUGACGAGAGGGAGCUAAUACACAAUCCAGCGGGAUGGCAGAAACAGUCAAGUGUUCUGGAGAUAACGAGAGAGAAAGAGAGUGAAAGACAGAGAGAGCUGGAAAGGGAAUGGGAUAAAUGGGAAGAAAAUGCCAACCAGGAAAGAGAGAGGCAGCGGAAAGAGAGAGAGGAGCAAGAGAGGGAGAGGCAGAAAGAGAAGGAAAAACAUCUUGAAAUUCAAAAACAGAAAGAGCUGGAACAACAGAAGAAGUGGGAGACAGACAUAAAACAAAAGGAAGAUAUGGAAAGGCAGAGAGCCCAGGAGGAAGUCAGCCCGGAGCAACGACAGGAAGAGGACAGAGCCAAGAUGGU